rnacentral:lncRNA from 1 species
AUUCCAGGCUCUGUGAACUAAGUGACUGAAGCUGAUUGACACAGGUCAAGGGGACUUCAAGGAAGAAAGCCAGCCUUAGACUGACAUCAGAGAACCAAACUCCGGUGUCUAAGCUCAAGAGGUUAGAAUCCUGAGAACUGUUUGGAAUAAGGAAUCCAAAUAUUGUCUUCCAGCUUCACCUUGUCACGACAGUCCUCGCCAGGGACAGCUGAGCCUUGCGUGGAUGAAACAGUCCCAACGAACACUUUAAAAAGACAAAUGUUCCCGACAGCACUGGUUGAAUUCAAAACUCGGCAGAUCCAUGUUCUUAUCCUUAGACAAGAGAGGGGCCAUAACAAGAUGGAAUGACGGAACAGACGUGAGAGAUGAUGGUACAGUGACUCGGGUAACCCCAGAAAAGGGACAGCUCUUCUACAGCUCAGUGGGGACAGGGACAAAAAGAAACAAUUUCAUUUCAGUCCACCCAGAGGGUCUGCACUUCUCGGAGCCAGAAGGUGGAGAAGAGUAGGGAUGGAGGAAGUUCGAAGUUUUAGGAGUCUGCUCUUGGGUCCCUAGGCAUGAGGACAAGCUUUUCCUGUACUCAAUGCUCAUCUCUCAGUUGUGCCCACAUUGGUACACAUUACUUGCUUUCAACUGCUGCUGCUGCUGUUUCCUAAUUCAAUAAAGAUAUGGCUGGCUCAGC